rnacentral:lncRNA from 1 species
GGGAUGAAACAGGAUGAUCCCCUUAACAUGCUAAGCAUGACCUUGAGCAAAGAAGCAACUGCCUUGGAAAUGCCAUUCACUUGGUAAUACUGCAGGCCUGCAGCUGUGUGUCUUUGAGCAAGCUGCCUACCCUCUCUGUGCCUUAUCAGGAGAGGGUGACUCUGUGCCGACUUUACAAGGCUAUGGGAAGGACACAAUGAACUAAGACUCCAGUGAUCACAACCAGUCCAUGCUGAGCUGCCUCGUCACAAAGGCCCUGGUGCUGACUUCUGUUCUGAACCUCACCCAGGACUCUUCUCCACUGGGUUUCUACAAAACAUGAGAGCUCUCUGCACAGAAGAAAAGAAAAAUGGACGGAACUCGAACUUAAAUCCAACCUUGUGGUUACAAUUACAGAGGCCCACCCAGGCCAGCACUGUGCGGACCCCUUCAGGCUUCUCUCGGGCUCUCCCGAGACACACCGGCAGGCUGCAGUGCUACCACUGUGGUAAAGGACAAGGAAACUGAGGCUCUGUGGGAUUCCAGGACUUGCCCAAGGUCACACCAUCCUUGAGGGGUCGAGCCGGGACUGGAACCUCAGUCCGGCCACUACAACUUCAUAAACACCAUCGCCCUGAGAUGCCGAAAUCCCAGGGGCCCCCCACCCUCAGACCAGGUGCCGGUAUUGUCAGCAUCGAGAAAACAAAGUGCCAGUGAAUUAUCAACUGUGAGCCUAUUAUGAGCCAGAAGGCAGGUUUCAUUCACUCCCUUAAGCCA